rnacentral:rRNA from 1 species
AGCGAACGCUGGCGGCAGGCCUAACACAUGCAAGUCGAACGAAGUCUUCGGACUUAGUGGCGGACGGGUGAGUAACACGUGGGAACGUACCUUUUGGUUCGGAACAACUCAGGGAAACUUGAGCUAAUACCGGAUGAGCCCUUAGGGGGAAAGAUUUAUCGCCGAAAGAGCGGCCCGCGUUAGAUUAGCUAGUUGGUGAGGUAAAGGCUCACCAAGGCAACGAUCUAUAGCUGGUCUGAGAGGAUGAUCAGCCACACUGGGACUGAGACACGGCCCUGACUCCUACGGGAGGCAGCAGUGGGGAAUCUUGCGCAAUGGGCGAAAGCCUGACGCAGCCAUGCCGCGUGAAUGAUGAAGGUCUUAGGAUUGUAAAAUUCUUUUACCAGGGACGAUAAUGACGGUACCUGGAGAAAAAGCCCCGGCUAACUUCGUGCCAGCAGCCGCGGUAACAC